GUUACGCUAAUACCGCAUAUUCUGUGAGCAGGAAAGCAGGGGAUCGCAAGACCUUGCGCUGAUUGAGUGGCCGAUAUCAGAUUAGCUUGUUGGUGAGGUAAAAGCUCACCAAGGCGACGAUCUGUAGCGGGUCUGAGAGGAUGAUCCGCCACACUGGAACUGAGACACGGUCCAGACUCCUACGGGAGGCAGCAGUGGGGAAUUUUGGACAAUGGGGGCAACCCUGAUCCAGCCAUGCCGCGUGAGUGAAGUAGGCCUUCGGGUUGUAAAGCUCUUUCAGCCGGGAAGAAAACGCAUGGGUUAAUACCCUGUGUGGAUGACGGUACCGGAAUAAGAAGCACCGGCUAACUACGUGCCAGCAGCCGCGGUAAUACGUAGGGUGCGAGCGUUAAUCGGAAUUACUGGGCGUAAAGCGUGCGCAGGCGGUUUUGUAAGACAGGCGUGAAAUCCCCGGGCUUAACCUGGGAACUGCGUUUGUGACUGCAAGGCUAGAGUACGGCAGAGGGGGGUGGAAUUCCACGUGUAGCAGUGAAAUGCGUAGAGAUGUGGAGGAACACCAAUGGCGAAGGCAGCCCCCUGGGUCGAUACUGACGCUUAUGCACGAAAGCGUGGGUAGCAAACAGGAUUAGAUACCCUGGUAGUCCACGCCCUAAACGAUGUCAACUAGGUGUUGGGAGGGUAAAACCUUUUAGUACCGGAGCUAACGCGUGAAGUUGACCGCCUGGGGAGUACGGCCGCAAGGUUAAAACUCAAAGGAAUUGACGGGGACCCGCACAAGCGGUGGAUGAUGUGGAUUAAUUCGAUGCAACGCGAAAAACCUUACCUACCCUUGACAUGCCAAGAACUUUCCAGAGAUGGAUUGGUGCCCGAAAGGGAACUUGGACACAGGUGCUGCAUGGCUGUCGUCAGCUCGUGUCGUGAGAUGUUGGGUUAAGUCCCGCAACGAGCGCAACCCUUGUCGUUAAUUGCCAUCAUUUAGUUGGGCACUUUAACGAGACUGCCGGUGACAAACCGGAGGAAGGUGGGGAUGACGUCAAGUCCUCAUGGCCCUUAUGGGUAGGGCUUCACACGUCAUACAAUGGUCGGUACAAAGGGUCGCCAAGCCGCGAGGUGGAGCCAAUCCCAGAAAGCCGAUCGUAGUCCGGAUCGCAGUCUGCAACUCGACUGCGUGAAGUCGGAAUCGCUAGUAAUCGUGGAUCAGAAUGUCACGGUGAAUACGUUCCCGGGUCUUGUACACACCGCCCGUCACACCAUGGGAGCGGGUUCCGCCAGAAGUAGGUAGCCUAACCGCAAGGAGGGCGCUUACCACGGCGGGGUUCGUGACUGGGGUGAAGUCGUAACAAGGUA
rnacentral:rRNA from 1 species